rnacentral:rRNA from 1 species
GGUGAACGCUAGCUACAGGCUUAACACAUGCAAGUCUUGGGGCAUCAGGAAGAAAGCUUGCUUUCUUUGCUGGCGACCGGCGCACGGGUGAGUAACACGUAUCCAACCUGCCCUUUACUCGGGGAUAGCCUUUCGAAAGAAAGAUUAAUACCCGAUAGCAUAAUGAUUCCGCAUGGUUUCAUUAUUAAAGGAUUCCGGUAAAGGAUGGGGAUGCGUUCCAUUAGGUUGUUGGUGAGGUAACGGCCCACCAAGCCUUCGAUGGAUAGGGGUUCUGAGAGGAAGGUCCCCCACAUUGGAACUGAGACACGGUCCAAACUCCUACGGGAGGCAGCAGUGAGGAAUAUUGGUCAAUGGGCGCUAGCCUGAACCAGCCAAGUAGCGUGAAGGAUGAAGGCUCUAUGGGUCGUAAACUUCUUUUAUAUAAGAAUAAAGUGCAGUAUGUAUACUGUUUUGUAUGUAUUAUAUGAAUAAGGAUCGGCUAACUCCGUGCCAGCAGCCGCGGUAAUACGGAGGAUCCGAGCGUUAUCCGGAUUUAUUGGGUUUAAAGGGAGCGUAGGUGGACUGGUAAGUCAGUUGUGAAAGUUUGCGGCUCAACCGUAAAAUUGCAGUUGAUACUGUCAGUCUUGAGUACAGUAGAGGUGGGCGGAAUUCGUGGUGUAGCGGUGAAAUGCUUAGAUAUCACGAAGAACUCCGAUUGCGAAGGCAGCUCACUGGACUGCAACUGACACUGAUGCUCGAAAGUGUGGGUAUCAAACAGGAUUAGAUACCCUGGUAGUCCACACAGUAAACGAUGAAUACUCGCUGUUUGCGAUAUACAGUAAGCGGCCAAGCGAAAGCAUUAAGUAUUCCACCUGGGGAGUACGCCGGCAACGGUGAAACUCAAAGGAAUUGACGGGGGCCCGCACAAGCGGAGGAACAUGUGGUUUAAUUCGAUGAUACGCGAGGAACCUUACCCGGGCUUAAAUUGCAGUGGAAUGAUGUGGAAACAUGUCAGUGAGCAAUCACCGCUGUGAAGGUGCUGCAUGGUUGUCGUCAGCUCGUGCCGUGAGGUGUCGGCUUAAGUGCCAUAACGAGCGCAACCCUUAUCUUUAGUUACUAACAGGUUAUGCUGAGGACUCUAGAGAGACUGCCGUCGUAAGAUGUGAGGAAGGUGGGGAUGACGUCAAAUCAGCACGGCCCUUACGUCCGGGGCUACACACGUGUUACAAUGGGGGGUACAGAAGGCAGCUAGCGGGUGACCGUAUGCUAAUCCCAAAAUCCUCUCUCAGUUCGGAUCGAAGUCUGCAACCCGACUUCGUGAAGCUGGAUUCGCUAGUAAUCGCGCAUCAGCCACGGCGCGGUGAAUACGUUCCCGGGCCUUGUACACACCGCCCGUCAAGCCAUGGGAGCCGGGGGUACCUGAAGUACGUAACCGCAAGGAUCGUCCUAGGGUA